rnacentral:rRNA from 1 species
CAGAGGGUGCUAGCGUUGUUCGGAAUUAUUGGGCGUAAAGCGCGUGUAGGCGGCUUUGCAAGUUGGGUGUGAAAGCCCUCGGCUUAACCGAGGAAGUGCGCCCAAAACUACAGAGCUUGAGUACCGGAGAGGAUAGUGGAAUUCCCGGUGUAGAGGUGAAAUUCGUAGAUAUCGGGAGGAACACCAGUGGCGAAGGCGGCUAUCUGGACGAGUACUGACGCUGAGACGCGAAAGCGUGGGGAGCAAACAGGAUUAGAUACCCUGGUAGUCCACGCCGUAAACGAUGAGCGCUAGGUGUUGCGGGUGUUGACCCCUGCAGUGCCGCAGCUAACGCAUUAAGCGCUCCGCCUGGGAAGUACGGCCGCAAGGCUA